AACGAACGCUGGCGGCAGGCUUAACACAUGCAAGUCGAACGCCUGUAGCAAUACAGGAGUGGCAGACGGGUGAGUAACACGUGGGAACGUGCCCAAAGGUACGGAACAACUCCGGGAAACUGGAGCUAAUACCGUAUGUGCCCGAGAGGGGAAAGAUUUAUCGCCUUUGGAUCGGCCCGCGUAGGAUUAGCUAGUUGGUGAGGUAAAGGCUCACCAAGGCGACGAUCCUUAGCUGGUCUUAGAGGAUGAUCAGCCACACUGGGACUGAGACACGGCCCAGACUCCUACGGGAGGCAGCAGUGGGGAAUAUUGGACAAUGGGCGAAAGCCUGAUCCAGCAAUGCCGCGUGAGUGAUGAAGGCCUUAGGGUUGUAAAGCUCUUUUACCUGGGAUGAUAAUGACAGUACCAGGAGAAUAAGCCCCGGCUAACUCCGUGCCAGCAGCCGCGGUAAAAC
rnacentral:rRNA from 1 species